GCGGCAAUGGUUUAAGGGUAAAAUCCAAGCUUCCCACGCUUCAUACGUAGCCUGCUUGGGCUCCGAGUUCGAGUCUCGGUUGCCGCA